UACGUAGGGUGCAAGCGUUGUCCGGAAUUAUUGGGCGUAAAGAGCUCGUAGGCGGUCUGUCACGUCGGCUGUGAAAUCCCGAGGCUCAACCUCGGGUCUGCAGUCGAUACGGGCAAACUAGAGUAUUGCAGGGGAGACUGGAAUUCCCGGUGUAGCGGUGAAAUGCGCAGAUAUCGGGAGGAACACCGGUGGCGAAGGCGGUUCUCUGGGCCUGUACUGACGCUGAGGAGCGAAAGCGUGGGGAGCGAACAGG
rnacentral:rRNA from 1 species